rnacentral:rRNA from 1 species
AAAUUGAAGAGUUUGAUCAUGGCUCAGAUUGAACGCUGGCGGCAGGCCUAACACAUGCAAGUCGAACGGUAACAGGAAGCAGCUUGCUGCUUUGCUGACGAGUGGCGGACGGGUGAGUAAUGUCUGGGAAACUGCCUGAUGGAGGGGGAUAACUACUGGAAACGGUGGCUAAUACCGCAUAAUGUCGCAAGACCAAAGAGGGGGACCUUCGGGCCUCUUGCCAUCAGAUGUGCCCAGAUGGGAUUAGCUUGUUGGUGAGGUAACGGCUCACCAAGGCGACGAUCCCUAGCUGGUCUGAGAGGAUGACCAGCCACACUGGAACUGAGACACGGUCCAGACUCCUACGGGAGGCAGCAGUGGGGAAUAUUGCACAAUGGGCGCAAGCCUGAUGCAGCCAUGCCGCGUGUAUGAAGAAGGCCUUCGGGUUGUAAAGUACUUUCAGCGGGGAGGAAGGUGUUGCGGUUAAUAACCGCAGCAAUUGACGUUACCC